rnacentral:tRNA from 1 species
GUAUAAGAGACAGCAGCUGGAUAGAGUACUCGGCUACGAACCGAGCGGUCGGAGGUUCGAAUCCUCCCGGAUGCACCA